AUUUUGCAGCCGACACCAUCUUGUUCCCUCCUAAUCUUUUUUGUGUUCAAUCUAUGAACAAGUAAUACACACACUUGAAACAUCUCUCAAAACCUCUCUCCCUCUCUGAGUUAUAUAUGCAGACAACAACACUCACACAAGACUCUACACAGCCACCACAUCUUCACCGAGACCCCUGCCCCAUCAUCUCUCUCGCUCGAUCUCCGGCAACCGGAGCUACUCCGGCGGCGGUCCCGUUACCAACCACACCCUCACAACCCUCCUCUCUUCAUCAAUAACUUCACCUCUUCACACCCCCCCCUGUUCGAUCUCCGGCCACCACCAUUGCAGUGAUGGCGCACGCGAAGAGAAAGAGCGACGACGGCUGCGACGCCGUCAUCCGCGGCGGCGUGGGAUUUCGGGUUGAGCUUGUUCGAGUUUUCAGGUAUGAGUGUCUCAGGUUUCGGUUCACGUCAGUUCGUUUCCGGCUCCGACUACAGUGACAAUGAUGGUUAUUUCAGUUCAAGAUGGGGGCUUUAUUUUCGGUUCGGUUCAGGUUAGUCAGAUUUCGAAUAUUAUUCGGUUGAUUUUCAGUUUCAUUUCAGAAUCGAGUUUCGUUUGGUUCAGGUCCCGGGUCAGGUUUCACGUACAGUUCUGAUUCAAGAUUAUUUUGAUUCGAGUUCGAUCGGACUCGGGUUUUGGUUCUGUCACAGCACGAGUCAACGUGGUGUGUUGGCUCGGUUCAGAUUCGCAUUCGAAUUCAGUCCAGUAUAUCAUUUCAUUCCUUCAUUUAAAUGCUCUUUGGACUUUGUAAAUGGAAACAAAAUAAAGGCACUUAUAUAUAACAACAUGAUUUCGUUUUGGGUUCCAGUUGGUUCAGGUUCUAAUUAGAUUAUGUGUUGUGUUCAGUCGGGUUCCGGGUUAAUUCUGAUUUCGGCUCAGAGUUGGUUCGGAUCCAGUCAACACUGGUCUAACCGGUCAUAUUCGUUUUUCGGAGUCGCAAUCGUAACAACUCAUAACCUCGAGACUUCGGUUUUCCUUCCUCCUAAUCUCGUACACUCGUCAACACUUGGAUAAUCGGAAGACUUAGCAAUUAUGUUGACAGUCAAGAUGUUGAAGAAUCAAGUUAGGAUGGACUAGAUACCCAUUUUAAUAAUAAACCAUGUUUGUUGCAAUUUGUCAUUAUUUGAAUCAAUGUAUUUGAAUUUAGUCAUUUAUGAAAUUUGAUUUAA